rnacentral:rRNA from 1 species
AUUGAACGCUGGCGGCAGGCCUAACACAUGCAAGUCGAACGAGUGGCGGACGGGUGAGUAAUGUCUGGGAAACUGCCAGAUGGAGGGGGAUAACCACUGGAAAAGGUAGCUUAUACCGCAUACCAUCGGAUGUGCCCAGAGGGGAUUAGCUAGUAGGUGGGGUAAAGGCUCACCUAGGCGACGAUCCCUAGCUGGUCUGAGAGGAUGACCAGCCACACUGGAACUGAGACACGGUCCAGACUCCUACGGUAGGCAGCAUGGGGGAAUAUUGCACAAUGGGCGCAAGCCUGAUGCAGCCAUGCCGCGUGUAUGAAGAAGGCCUUCGGGUUGUAAAGUACUUUCAGCGGGGAGGCGUUACCCGCAGAAGAAGCACCGGCUAACUCCGUGCCAGCAGCCGCGGUAAUAC